rnacentral:misc_RNA from 1 species
GCAAACUUGGUCAUUUAGAGGAAGUAAAAGUCGUAACAAGGUUUCCGUAGGUGAACCUGCGGAAGGAUCAUUAAUGAAUGAAGUAUAGAGUUGAGCUGACUCUUCGGAGUAUGUGCUUGCUCUAUCACUAAUUUCAAUUAUCAUCUCUUGUGCACCUUUGUAGCAUUGUGAUAAACACUCAGUCGAAAUCAAAAAGACUGGACUUUGUGGGCCUUUAGAGAGUGACUCUAAUGUCCUUGUACUUCACAGUCUACGUUUCAUAACAAACACUUUAAAAGUUUAGAAUGUGUAUAGUUGAUCUGUGAUGGAUCAAUAUAAUCUAUACAACUUUCAGCAACGGAUCUCUUGGCUCUCGCAUCGAUGAAGAACGCAGC